UGGAACAGAGCGUCAUAGAGGGUGAGAAUCCCGUCUUUGACACGGACUACCAGUGCUUUGUGAUGCGCUCUCAAAGAGUCGAGUUGUUUGGGAAUGCAGCUCAAAAUGGGUGGUGAAUUCCAUCUAAAGCUAAAUAUUGGCGAGAGACCGAUAGCGAACAAGUACCGUGAGGGAAAGAUGAAAAGCACUUUGGAAAGAGAGUUAAACAGUACGUGAAAUUGCUGAAAGGGAAACGCUUGAAGUCAGUCGCGUUGUCCGGAACUCAGCCUUGCUUUUGCUUGGUGCACUUUCCGGAUGACGGGUCAGCAUCGAUUUUGACCGUCGGAAAAGGGCUAGAGUAAUGUGGCACCUUCGGGUGUGUUAUAGACUCUGGUCGCAUACGGCGGUUGGGAUCGAGGAACGCAGCGCGCCGUAAGGCAGGGGUUCUCCCACUUUCGCGCUUAGGAUGCUGGCAUAAUGGCUUUAAACGACCCGUCUUGAAACACGGACCAAGGAGUCUAACAUACCUGCGAGUGUUUGGGUGGAAAACCCGAGCGCGUAAUGAAAGUGAAAGUUGAGACCCCUGUCGUGGGGGGCAUCGACGCCCGGACCAGACGUUCUCUGACGGAUCCGCGGUAGAGCAUGUAUGUUGGGACCCGAAAGAUGGUGAACUAUGCCUGAAUAGGGUGAAGCCAGAGGAAACUCUGGUGGAGGCUCGUAGCGAUUCUGACGUGCAAAUCGAUCGUCAAAUUUGGGUAUAGGGGCGAAAGACUAAUCGAACCAUCUAGUAGCUGGUUCC
rnacentral:rRNA from 1 species